CCUACGGGUGGCAGCAGUCGAGAAUCAUUCACAAUGGGGGAAACCCUGAUGGUGCGACGCCGCGUGGGGGAAUGAAGGUCUUCGGAUUGUAAACCCCUGUCAUGUGGGAGCAAAUUAAAAAGAUAGUACCACAAGAGGAAGAGACGGCUAACUCUGUGCCAGCAGCCGCGGUAAUACAGAGGUCUCAAGCGUUGUUCGGAAUCACUGGGCGUAAAGCGUGCGUAGGCUGUUUCGUAAGUCGUGUGUGAAAGGCGCGGGCUCAACCCGCGGACGGCACAUGAUACUGCGAGACUAGAGUGAUGGAGGGGGAACCGGAAUGCACGGUGUAGCAGUGAAAUGCGUAGAGAUCGAGAGGAACACUCGUGGCGAAGGCGGGUUCCUGGACAUUAACUGACGCUGAGGCACGAAGGCCAGGGGAGCGAAAGGGAUUAGAUACCCUUGUAGUC
rnacentral:rRNA from 1 species